rnacentral:misc_RNA from 1 species
UAUGCCAUCAAGCCUGGCUUGGUGUUGGGCGGUUGUCGUGCCAUGUGUGUCGACUCGCCUCAAAUUCAUCGGCGGCCCGUCGUAGGCUUGCAGCACAGCAGACUGGUAGCUGUUUGGCCAUGCCACGCGCCCGCCGCAAUGCGUCUUUCUAU